GUAGGGCAGCCACUUGGUCUCUCCGUCACAUUUAUCUGUCACUUUCCAAUCGGCUGCUUCUUUCGGUAGACAGAUUCUUCAGUCCAUUUUAUAACUCAGAUAUUACCUCAGUUUCCCACCCAGUUCAGGGAAGCUCUGGCAUGCCCCUUAUGAAGGAUGGCUUCGCCUUCACCGCUGCAAAAACAAACAUUGGCUUACCUUGUGAGAUGUUUGUUUUCAGCGUUGAAGGCAGAGACCUCCUGCCCUCCCGAGACUGAGGACUGUGUACCCAGUACUGGGGGAAUCAGUCAUACACUUAAAGGUUAUUUGUUACAGGAUCUAGGAUUGUUCUUAAUUAUUAUUAGAACCGUAGUUGUUUGUUAGCCUUUGAUAAUUUGUUAUUAGACAUUCCUCAGCUUGGCUAUUUCACUGACUGGGCAACAAGGGGGAUGGGUUCCCCAGGGUUCACGGCCAGAAUCCUACCUGCUUUGAGCGAACAGAGGGAACCAACCCUUAUGAAGGAUAUCUCCGCCUUCAACGCUGAAAACAAACAUCUCACAAGGACUUAUUUAUGAAAGAGAUGGCUGAGAAGGAGAAGUGUCCUUUUGAAUCCAGUCCGAGGCAGGGGCCCAAGUGGAUCACGCAAGGCAGAGGAGGAAUGUCGUUUUCAACGAGAAGUGGAAGAAGGACUGAAUCUAUGUGUACAAGGACAUCUCUUCAUCCUGAUGGAUUCAGAACAGCUUCUGGGAGACUAGCUCAGGUGACUUUUGAGGACAUGGUUGUGGAUUUCACAGAGGAGGAGUGGGCCCUGCUGGAUCCAGGCCAAAGAGCCCUUCAUCAGGAAGUGAUGGAGGAGAUUGUGGAGGCCCUAUCUUCUCUGAGUAAGGCUCCCACUUUCUUCUGAUUGUGCAACUUUCUUGUGAUUGUACAAGUGCUGAAAAGUAACCCUGAGAGUUCGUCUUCGGUCUUGAUACCUUAAAGCAGGCUGAGUGGUUUUCUUUUAGCUUUGCUGCUAUUUCUGGCCUCUCUUCCCAGAAAGCCCUUCACUAGCAGACUUUGGUCAAGGUGACAGUGGAUGAUGUCAGGUCCAGUUGCACUCCAGAGCUUGGACCACUGAGCCUCACUAGCGGUAUCCCCCCCCC